AUUGAACGCUGGCGGCAUGCUUUACACAUGCAAGUCGAACGGCAGCGCGGGCUUCGGCCUGGCGGCGAGUGGCGAACGGGUGAGUAAUGCAUCGGAACGUGCCCAGUAGUGGGGGAUAGCCCGGCGAAAGCCGGAUUAAUACCGCAUACGACCUGAGGGUGAAAGCGGGGGACCGAAAGGCCUCGCGCUAUUGGAGCGGCCGAUGUCGGAUUAGCUAGUUGGUGGGGUAAAGGCUUACCAAGGCGACGAUCCGUAGCUGGGCUGAGAGGACGACCAGCCAACUGGGGCCUGGCACACGCCCCGACCCCCCCGGGGAGGCACGCGGGGGGAAUUUUGGACAAUGGGGGCAACCCUGUUCCGGCCAUGCCGCGGGCGGGAAGACGGCCUUCGGGUUUUAAACCGCUUUUUUUGGGGAAGAAAUCCUUUGGGCUAAUACCCCGGGGGGAUGACGUUACCGAAAGAAUAGGCCCCGGCAACCUCCUU
rnacentral:rRNA from 1 species